GCGUAUAAAGAUAUAGGAUUAUAUAACACCAUUAAUGUUUCAUUUUAAUUACACAGUUUAAAUAAAAGCCAAUGUACAAAUACUGACACAAGGAAAUUACAGCAAAUAUUAUAAUUAUUAACAAAAGUCGCUUCUGGGAUAAGAAAAAGUGGCUGUGUUUAAAAUUAUUUCUGUGCUCAGGAGUGAACAAUUUUACUGAAUCCUCGCCAACUUUGAACAGAACACAUUUUCCUUACUUGUAGGAGGUUCUAUCGCAAGAUGAUCUUUUAAGACAUAUUCGUUGAAGCCAAAUUUACGAUUUCCUUGUAGAAAUGAGAAUAUUUUUCGCUGUUUAUUUCUCGAUUACCACAUUUAUCAUUGAAUCACAAGAUAAUUGAUGUAUCACAUACAAGAUUUCUAAAACAAUGUGUACCUUACAAAACAUACACCUUACAAAAACAUAAUAUAAAUGAUAAAAACCCAGAUAGAAAUAGAAAUGUUGAAUUUUUGCUUAAUUUUUUAAGUAAACGGAAGUCGGAGUACAUUUUAAAGGGUUACCAGCAUAAAAAAGAACUUUUUUCAACUAAAACUGCUUCUCAGCAAAAAGCCAAAAGCUUCCAAAGAAAUUAACAACAAAAUAAUGUUCCAUUUUUUCUUAAUUAGGAGGUAAACUAUACCACAAUUAUUAUGAAUAAAAAAACGAACUAUUAAACAAAAAAAAAAUUACCAAAGGUUUCGUAAUCGUAAACGUAUAAAUUUUGGCCAUACAGAAAUCUAAUCACAUCAUAACAUGAAACCGCCUCCCAAGGUUUAUUGUAUACCUAUUUAAGUUUUCCAAUUUUAAACAAAGCAAACAUUAUACAGUAAACUAGACAA